rnacentral:rRNA from 1 species
GUGCCAGCAGCCGCGGUAAUACGGAGGGGGCAAGCGUUGUUCGGAAUUAUUGGGCGUAAAGGGCGCGUAGGCGGCCGGCCAAGUCGGGUGUGAAAUCCCUCGGCUCAACCGAGGAAUUGCAUCCGAUACUGGCUGGCUGGAGUCCGGGAGGGGAUGGUGGAAUUCCCAGUGUAGCGGUGAAAUGCGUAGAUAUUGGGAAGAACACCGGUGGCGAAGGCGACCAUCUGGACCGGAACUGACGCUGAGGCGCGAAAGCCAGGGGAGCGAAUGGGAUUAGAUACCCGGGUAAUCC